UCUUCUCCUAAAAUAUCCCCUAAAAAGGUGAAAUUCUUUGGACAUUCCAACCAGUACAUAUUCUAGGUUUUAUUGUUCCCAACUGGGCUUCCUAUUAAGAGUUUUUUUAAAAUAAAAUCUUUAUUAACACUUAAUUCACA